UACGAAGGGAGCAAGCGUUGCUCGGAUUUAUUGGGCGUAAAGGGUGUGUAGGUGGUUUGAUAAGUUAGAUGUGAAAGCCCAGGGCUUAACCCUGGAAUUGCAUUUAAGACUGUUAGACUUGAAGAUUGGAGAGGUAAGCAGAAUUCCCAGUGUAGAGGUGAAAUUCGUAGAUAUUGGGAAGAAUACCAAUGGCGUAGGCAGCUUACUGGCCAAAUCUUGACACUGAGGCACGAAAGCGUGGGGAGCAAACAGG
rnacentral:rRNA from 1 species